AAGCAGGCAGAUCCAUUUUCUGCCACCGAAUACAUUAGCAUGGGAUAAUGGAAUAGGACCCUGUCCUCCUAUUUUCAGUUGGUUUUGGCAGCGCGAGGACUAGGGUAAUGAUUAAUAGGGAUAGUUGGGGGCAUUAAUAUUUAAUUGUCAGAGGUGAAAUUCUUGGAUUUAUGAAAGAUUAACUUCUGCGAAAGCAUCUGCCAAGGAUGUUUUCAUUAAUCAAGAACGAAAGUUAGGGGAUCGAAGACGAUCAGAUACCGUCGUAGUCUUAACCAUAAACGAUGCCGACCAGCGAUUAGGAGACGUUGAAUACAAAACACCACCAUCGGUGCGGUCAUCCUUGGCGUUGGUCUUCAAAAGCCAGCGCGGGGGUGGCUUAGCCCGGUGGCACCGGUGAAUGACUCCCCUAGCAGCUUGUGAGAA
rnacentral:rRNA from 1 species